rnacentral:lncRNA from 1 species
GAAGGAGGAAGGGGGAAGGAGGAAGGGGCUCAUGAUGUCCAACUUGGCUCUCCUUCCUUGAUGUUGGAGGAAAAAAUAGCAUUUGGACGCUACCAAAUACAGAUUCAUUCAUGGAUAUUUUAAACUUGGAUGUAUUUAAAAGGUCCUUGUGACGUGUCGUUGAUAUCUUGCAGACGUUACGAGUUUCGAUGUGCUUUUCCAGACCCAGAUUCAACUCACAAGGAUGUGGAACAGAAUGACAAGUUAACAGGGUUAGUUUCUAAACUGGUCCCAGAUUAGUGUAGAAUAUAGAAGCACACCAUCAAAUAUGUCAUUCUACUACUAUGGCAAAGACAUGACACAGGAAAAAAAAGGGCAUUAUAAAAUCAAUUUGGAUUGGAUUUUGACACAGGAGUAAGUGACAAACCUUUCCUCCACGAGUUCCAGAACUCUCCAUCAACUGAUAAACAGGACAACAUCCUCUAAACCCCGAACCCGAUGUCCCAUUGUUCUGGAUCAAUCACAUGGCCGGCCGGACCUUGUUGAACCUCUCCUAGGACCCUAACUAACCCCUCCCCUCCUCUCCAUCCUCCACCCACCAACAGUCAUAGAUCGAUCACCUUAUUAAAACUGUGUGUCUCAGGGGAUACAUUGAAAUACCAGGUUACCGUGCCAAACCAUGACCAGGUUACCGUGCCAAACCAUGACCAGGUUAACGUGCCAAACCAUGACCAUGUUAACGUGCCAAACCAUGACCAUGUUAACGUGCCAAACCAUGACCAUGAUAUCGUGCCAAACCAUGACCAGGUUAAUGUGCCAAACCAUGACCAGGUUAACGUGCCAAACCGUGACCGGGUUAUCGUGCCAAACCGUGACCGGGUUAACGUGCCAAACCGUGACCGGGUUAACGUGCCAAACCGUGACCGGGUUAACGUGCCAAACCGUGACCAGGUUAACGUGUCAAACCGUGACCAGGUUAACGUGUUAAACCGUGACCAGGUUAACGUGUUAAACCGUGACCAGGUUAACGUGCCAAACCGUGACCAGGUUAACAUGCCAAACCGUGACCAGGUUAACGUGCCAAACCAUGACCAUGUUAACGUGCCAAACCCGUGACCAGGUUAACGUGCCAAACCGUGACCAGGUUAACGUGCCAAACCGUGACCAGGUUAACGUGCCAAACCGUGACCAGGUUAACGUGCCAAACCGUGACCAGGUUAAUGUGCCAAACCGUGACCAGGUUAACGUGCCAAACCGUGACCAGGUUAUCGUGCCAAACCAUGACCAUGUUAACGUGCCAAACCACGACCAGGUUAACGUGCCAAACCACGACCAGGUUAACGUGCCAAACCAUGACCAUGUUAACAUGCCACACCAUGACCAGGUAUGAACAAUCCCCUGUGUGAAAAGUGUCUUUCAUGUGUUGGAGAAGAAUCUAUUCUACUCUCAGGACUCUAGGGUCUGGCAAGGUUGUUUCUAGGACUUUGAGAGAGAGAGACAGAUAGACAGAGAGAGAGAGCUAGAGAUAGAGAGAGAGAUAGAUAGACAGAGAAAGAGAGCGAGAGAUAGAGAGAGAGAUAGAUAGAUAGACAGAGAGCGAGACAGAGAGAGACAGAUAGACAGAGAGAGACAGAAAGAGACAGCGAGAGAGACAGAUAGAGAGAGAGAUAUAGAUAGACAGAGAGCGAGACAGAGAGAGAGACAGACAGAGAGAGACAGAAAGAGACAGCGAGAGAGACAGAUAGAGAGAGAGACAGAGGGAGACAGAGAGAGAGAGAGAGUGAGAGGCAGAGCGAGAGACAGAUAGUUUUAAAUGAAGGACCUGUAUAUAUGGACUACGUAUGCCUCCUUCCCUCCUGUAGCAGGAGAUGGCUUGUAAUCAGCUGUGAUCUGAUCAGUUUCCUGUUUAAACCUGAGGAGAUAAUGGGGCAUGCUGGGAGCCGGACUCCUUCGUCCCGUCAGAGCUCUUUAAUGCAGUUCCCCUACAUGACACAGACGGAUAUACGGGACGAGGAGAUGACACCGACUCUGAUGAAGAUCGGCAUCUUUUAAUGUAGCAGAGACAUCUCAUAUCUCUGGAUAGAAGACUCAGGGCCAUGUCUUAAUAGUCUGAUACGGCUUCCUUUCCUCAUCUCCUAAUGUAGCAGAGACAUCUCAUAUCUCUGGAUAGAAGACUCAGG